rnacentral:rRNA from 1 species
UACGGAGGAAGCUAGCGUUGUUCGGAAUUACUGGGCGUAAAGCGCACGUAGGCGGCGAUUUAAGUCAGAGGUGAAAGCCCGGGGCUCAACCCCGGAACUGCCUUUGAGACUGGAUUGCUAGAAUCUUGGAGAGGCGAGUGGAAUUCCGAGUGUAGAGGUGAAAUUCGUAGAUAUUCGGAGGAACACCAGUGGCGAAGGCGGCUCACUGGUCCAUUACUGACGCUGAGGUGCGAAAGCGUGGGGAGCAAACAGGAUUAGAUACCCCUGUAGU